rnacentral:rRNA from 1 species
GACGUAGGUGGCGAACGUUAUCCGGAAUUAUUGGGCGUAAAGGGUGCGUAGGCGGCCUGAUAAGUUAGCAGUGGUAAAUCGAGGCUCAACCUCGCGGAAACUGGUAAUACUGUCUGGCUUGAGUACAGGAGAGGUUAACGGAACUCCAUGUGGAGCGGUAAAAUGUGAAGAUAUAUGGAAGAACAUCAAUAAUGGCGAAGGCAGUUAACUAUUCUGUUACUGACGUUGAGGCACGAAAGCGUGGGGAGCAAAACGG